UGUAGUGUCACCUCUUGCACUGAGAUGCAGUGCCUUAGACCGCUGUGCCACUCGGGAGCAAAAAACAAACAUAUUUUUGUUAAAUCCUGCCUACUCGAAUGACCCUGGUGCCAUGGCCCGAACUUGCAAGCUAGCUAACUUUACAGCCACCAGAAACAAACACAGAGCAGACAAAGUCAACAAGCUAGAUAACGUGUUUGCAGAUAAACUGCCCUUGUAGCAGGGACAAAAGAAACAAGUAUCGUUCUCCGUUCUGAAUCAACUCGAUCCCCAAAAGAUAAAAAGAAGCAAGAAAAAUAUGGCUCAUGCCCAAGCCGGAUAAACAUUGGAAUGAAUUUUGAAAGGUGGAGGAGUGAUACCAAAAUGGCCACCAUUCUCAUGGACUGGUAGGUAAGUGUUUGGUAGCGUUUUUAGCCUGCUAGCUAGUUUCGCUGCUAACCUUAGUGUGUUCAAUGUUCAUGCUAGCUAAUAUGGCUACUUAGCUAGCUAGCUAACAUCUUCUGUAUUCUGACUGUUUUGUACUCAAAGGAAUCUAACAAUUGCAUCAUGUAGCUACAGUGCAUGAACCCCACAAGAUGCCAAAUGCCUUUCUUUUAACUAGCUAAUGUUAGCUGGCUAUAGCUAGAUAUGCAGAUUGUUGACAUGAUAAUGUUUGUGAGUUGGUGGUUGACAGCAUUUCUGGCACAGGACCACCACUAGCUAUUCUCAGGGAGAUACUGGUGAAGAAAAUCUGAUUUAGAGGGAACCGGAGGCUGUACAAGUUGUGGUUGUGCAAACCCCAACACAGGAGGAGAGGAGAACUUGGACAUAGAUGAUGACGAACAUCCUAACCCUUCAACUACAUUACAUGCGUUGCCAUGGCUUUCCCACCUUUCACCCCCUACUAGUCCAAGCCAUCCUUUGCAUUAUAUGCCAAGAGUGUGCAAAGCUGUCAUCAAGGCUACUUUGAAGAAUCUCAAAUAUAAAUCAUAUUUUGAUUUGCUUAACACUUUUUUGGUUACUACGUGAUUCCAUAUGUGUAAUUUCAUAGUUUUGAUGUAUUCACUAUUAUUCUACAAUGUAGAAAAUUGUAAAAAUAAAGAAAACCCUGGAAUGAGUAGGAGUGUCCAAACUUUUGACUGGUAGUGUACUUUUAUUUAUAUAUAUAUAUAUAUAUAUAUAUAUAUAUAUAGUGCAUCUAUUUCCUUAUAUGAAC
ensembl:lncRNA